AUGGUGAAGGUUGGAGUGAAGGAUUCAGCUGCAUUGAGUGCCUGGUCACCAGGGCUGCUUUUGAUUCUGGCAAAGUGGACAUUGUCACCAUCAAUGACCCCUUCAUUGACCUUCACUACAUGGUCUAUAUGUUCCAGUAUGAUUCCACCCACGGCAAGUUCCACAGCACAGUCAAGGUGGAGAAAGGGAAGCCCGUCAUCAAUGGAAAGGCCAUCACCAUCUUCCAGGAGCGAGAUCCCACCAGCAUCAAGGGGGGUGAUGCUGGUGUUGAGUACGUGAUGGAGUCCACUGGGGUCUUCACUACCAUGGAGAAGGCUGGGGCUCACUUGAAGGGUGGCACCAAGAGGGUCAUCAUCUCUGAGCCUUCUGCUGAUGCCCCCAUGUUUGUGAUGGGCGUGAACCAUGAGAAGUAUAACACCACCCUCAAGACUGUCAGCAACACCUCCUGCACCACCAACUGCUUAGUCCCCCAGCCAAGGUCAUCCAUGACCUCCACUUUGGCAUCGUGGAGGGACUCAUGACCACUGUCCACACCAUCACUGCCACCCAGAAGACUGUGGAUGGCCCCUCCGGGAAGCUGUGGCAUGAUAGCUGAGGGGCUGCCCAGAACAUCAUCUCUGCUUCUACUGGCGCUGCCAAGGCCGUGGGCAAGGUCAUCCCUGAACACAAUGGGAAGCUCACUAGCAUGGCCUUCUGCGUCUCCACCCACAACGUGUCUGUUGUAGAUCUGACCUGCCGCCUGGAGAAGCCUGCCAAGUAUGAUGAAAUCAAGAAGGUGGUGAAGCAGGCGUCAGAGGGCCCCCUCAAGGGCAUUCUAGGCUACACUGAGGACUAGGUUGUCUCCUGCGACUUCAACAGCGACACUCACUCUUCUACCUUCGAUGCUGGAGCUGGCAUUGCCCUCAACGACCACUUCGUCAAGCUCGUUUCCUGGUACGACAAUGGAUUCGGCUAUAGCAACAGGGUGGUGGACCUCAUGGCCCACAUGGCCUUCAAGGAGUAAGGUCCCCAGACCCCAGCAGGAGCAUGAGAGGAAGAGAGAGUUCCUCAGCUGCUGGGGAGUCCUUGGCCCACCUCGAUCCUCGCGACACUAAGAAUCUCCUGACCUCCACACAGUUUCCAUCCCCAAGGCGCUGAGGAAGGGGAGGGGCUUAGGGAGCACUGCCUUGUCCUGCACCAUCAAUAAAAGUACCCUAUACCCCCCCAAAAUAAAUUAAUAAUAA